GUACAAGUCCAACCAAUGGAUGAGGAAAACAUGAAUAUGUAUUGACUGAAAAUGCAUACAGUUUGUAAAGCUAAAUGCCACUGAAAAUAUUUUAGACAGCUUGAAAGGUAACCUAAUAAUAUCAAAACCCACAACUAACCAAAGCAAACAUGCUUUAUGAUAACUUGGCAUGUCCUAAGAAUAAUGUAGAACACAAAAGUAUUUACAGAUGACCACCUAUUAGUCA
rnacentral:misc_RNA from 1 species